ACGGAAGGCAGCAGUGGGGGAUAUUGCACAAUGGAGGAAACCCUGAUGCAGCAACGCCGCGUGAGGGAAGAAGGUUUUCGGAUUGUAAACCUCUGUUUUUAGUGAAGAAACAAAUGACGGUAGCUAAAGAGGAAGCCACGGCUAACUACGUGCCAGCAGCCGCGGUAAUACGUAGGUGGCAAGCGUUGUCCGGAUUUACUGGGUGUAAAGGGUGCGCAGGCGGGACUGCAAGUUGGAUGUGAAAAUCCGAGGCUCAACCUCGGAACUGCAUCCAAAACUGUGGUUCUUGAGUGGAGCAGAGGUAAGCGGAAUUCCGAGUGUAGCGGUGAAAUGCGUAGAUAUUCGGAGGAACACCAGUGGCGAAGGCGGCUUACUGGGCUCUAACUGACGCUGAGGCACGAAAGUGUGGGUAGCAAACAGGAUUAGAUACCCUGGUA
rnacentral:rRNA from 1 species